rnacentral:rRNA from 1 species
GCGCAAUGGGCGAAAGCCUGACGCAGCAACGCCGCGUGAGGGACGAAGGCCUUCGGGUCGUAAACCUCGUUUUCUGGGGGAAGAGCAAGGACGGUACCUCAGGAAUAAGUCUCGGCUAACUACGUGCCAGCAGCCGCGGUAAAACGUAGGAGGCGAGCGUUAUCCGGAUUUACUGGGCGUAAAGCGUACGCAGGUGGCUUCGUUAGUCGGACAUGAAAGCUCCUGGCUUAACUGGGAGAGGCUGUUCGAUACUGCGAGGCUGGAGGUUGGGAGAGGGACGUGGAAUUCCCGGUGUAGUGGUGGAAUGCGUAGAUAUCGGGAGGAACACCAGUGGCGCAAGCGGCGUCCUGGCCCACACCUGACGCUGAGGUACGAAAGCGUGGGUAGCAAACAGGAUUAGAUACCCUGGUAGUCCACGCUGUAAACGAUGUCAACUGGGUGUCGGUAGUUUUACACUAUCGGUGCCGAAGCUAACGCGUUAAGUUGACCGCCUGGGGACUACGGCCGCAAGGCUA